rnacentral:lncRNA from 1 species
GAGCAGUCUGCUGGGGCGACGGAGGCUUGGAGCGAGCGGCACCGGGGGUCCCAUCAGGGACGUCUCGCUAGCGGCACGCCGGGCUGGCGAAGCGCGCUCCGGUCCGGGUGGCGAAGCAUCGGCGAGUUCCUAUCGGCCUCGCUCCGGCCCUUUUAUCUGUCUCAGAUUUACUUAAAUCAAUAGACAUCGGCAAAGGCCACCGAGGAGUCCCAGCUGUUUGUAUUAGAUGGAGCUGCCGCGAUGAGCCUUCUCCUUGGGUUUCCAGCUAGCCAGACGGCACGCAUGAGAGACCGGGAGCAGGAGGAGGGGGGAGAGGGAGAGACCCACUGAAAUUCGGCAGGAGACCGCGGGGAAAAUAGCUGGUCGGCAGAGCAUAGAAAUAAAAGCCGCUUCCUGCAACAAUAGCCCGAUCUGCGACCAAUUGAUACAAAGCAGAGGAGGCAAAAGGUAUCGGGCUCGUGUGAACUCCCAGAGUGCAGCGUGGAUAAAAUUACACACACGCAGCAUCUCUUCCCGGCGCGCCGCACGCACCCCCCCACGCUCACACCCCCGCCGGGGGGGGCUGCGGCCGCCGCCCUCCGCCCCGCGCAUCCCCCGCGGGGCUCCGCCGCCCCCUGCCCAGCCCGGUGUACCGGUGCCCGGCGCAGGCGGCCUCGGAAAAAGCGCACGUUAAACGCAGGAGCCGCGGAGAGGGGCUCAGCGCCCGGCUGCUCGGGGGGCUCACGGUGGGAGAGCGUUUUAGUGGGGCAGGUCUUCAGGAUACAGUCGUUUCCAAAUUAGCUUGGACAAAGUAGGGCCCGGCCGGAAAGCAAAAAGUUGUCGUAUACGUCCUCGGAUGCAUUUCCAAGAAGCUGGAGCUAAUCCUUUUUCUUAACUUUGGUGCCUGGGACUCUUCUCACUGGGAAAUGCCAUACAGUCUCCUCUUUCUUCUAGAUGAGAUGUCUGAUAAGGACAGGCGAGUUUCUAUUUCAUUAUGUCUGAAUAUGCCCUGCAUCAGCGAGUUACAUCUCAUAGAUGCGGCAUCUUCGAUGUCUUUACUGAGGCCUUUUUUCGGGCAGGAACAACUUUUUAACAAUAAGAAAAAAAAUAGAGAGAGAAGAAGAAAUCCUACAGUAUUUUAUGGAAAUAAAAUGGACCUCCUGCCUGACAGUUGUAAUAGAAUGAAAGAAGAAGAGAAAAUGAAGGGAAUCUGCUGAUGGACGCAGGGAAAAGAGUAAGAAUGCUGUCUUGUCAGAAAAUAAAAACAUAUAAAAAAGAAAAA